AAAAUAGAAUUUGACUAAAUCAAAUUUAUUUCCUAAGAAUUUCACCUUACCCUAACUAUUAUUAUUUAGUUAAGCAUAAUUGAAAUAAAAAUAAUUAUUAAAAUUAAAUUACACAAAAUUAAAAGGUAUAAAAACAACUAAAAUUGAAAAUAAAACUAAAUUUAUUUAUAAAAAUAAUUAUGCAAAAUAUUAAAAGACAGUUGAAUUUAUUAAUAUAAGAUUACAGAGAAUUUUAGGAGAGAAAUUGAGAAAAAGAGAGAUGAUCAAAACAUAAAAAUGAGGCUCCAUUAUAGAAAAAUACAUUCAUAAUCCAGUAUUUUGCGGUCAAUCAUAAGCUUUAUGCAUGUCUCCACACAGCCAUUAGAUCAAGAUCCAAUAGUUAGUCAAACUUCAAAAGUCAACAUUACACUUGGCAUCAUGUGAAGCAUCUGAUUCGGUCAAAGAACGGUUGAGAUUUGACGAGUUAAUGGGUGGAUCAGGUCGACCUGAAUACAAAAGUUUGGAUCAUUCAACUUGCUUUACCAACCAUUACCACAUGGCACAAUCGUAGCCAUUGAAUUAUGAAUGGUUGAGAUUUAGUCAAAAUUGACAGCUAUCCAAUGCAUUCAUAUUUAUUGUAAGCUCAUUUUAUCAUCCAAUCAAUGUUUGCUCAACGAAAAAAGUCAACUUUUUGUACAAACUUAAUUUUAAGCUGGUCUUGACUUAUCUUAAGAUUUUUAGACUUCCGAAAUCUAAAUUUGACAUUUGUUUAUCUGUUUGGAGCCUCGAAUUAGGUAAAAUUAAAUAUGUCACCACACUUUUUUAAAGUUUCUAUUAUAAUCUUAACAUUUUAACAAAAAGAAAAUUAAUAUACAAACUAUUAGCUAUCAUAUUACUGCCACAAUUGCUAUAUUUUUUUUUCAUUAUCAAAGUUUUGAUCGAGUAAAUUCAUUUUUUUUUUACUUUUAUUUUCUACCAUAGAAUUCAAGAAGAUUUACAAAUGAUUCCGUGAAAUUUCUUUGGAUUACGAAGAAUUUCACAUAAAAGCUAAUCAUGACUUUUGAAAUUGCAUUUCAUAACCAUACCUUUUAAGGUUUAAUCUAUUUGAACUUUUUGUAUAUUCAUGGUGUUUAUUUAGAAAACACUAUAAGCUUGAUAAUAU
rnacentral:lncRNA from 1 species